AUUGAACGCUGGCGGCAGGCCUAACACAUGCAAGUCGAACGAGUGGCGGACGGGUGAGUAAUGUCUGGGAAACUGCCUGAUGGAGGGGGAUAACUACUGGAAACGGUAGCUAAUACCGCAUACCAUCGGAUGUGCCCAGAUGGGAUUAGCUAGUAGGUGGGGUAAAGGCUCACCUAGGCGGCGGUCCCUAGCUGGUGUGAGAGGAUGACCGGCCACGCUGAAACUGAUACACGGCCCAGGCUCCUACGGGAGGCAGCGGUGGGGAAUAUUGCACAAUGGGCGCAUGCCUGAUGCAGCCAUGCCGCGGGUAUGAGGAAGGCCUUCGGGUUGUAAAGUACUUUCAGCGGGGAGGCGUUACCCGCAGAAGAAGCACCGGCUAACUCCGUGCCAGCAGCCGCGGUAAUAC
rnacentral:rRNA from 1 species